CUCCCAGGGCUCAUGGCAGGUCCAGAUAACAUUUUAAUCUUCUUUGACUCGACCUUUCCAGAGUUCAACACAGGAUGCUGUGAGAGUCGUUGUGUAACUCUAGAAACAGUGUUGGAUGACACUGUCUGUAGUUCUGGCUGAUCUUGUCAUUUGACCUGACUGACAUCCUGAGAACACCAAUCAAUGCGGUUUCCCAACACCAGAGGUACUCAUCGCAUUGAAGGCAACACUUCCUGCCUGGAGGAGCAAAAGCCUCCCACACCAGCUUCAGUUACAUACAGUCUACUUCAACCAAAAGGCUGUAGGGGGAAAGGAAAAUACAAGGGGAGAUUAAAUAUAUAUGCCUGAGCGAGAAAAGUAUGAAAGGUUGACUGAGGUGGAAGAUGAGCUGGAGAGAGAGAAGAUUGACCUCAUGCUGACAGUGCACAUCCCUGCAAGCUUUGGUCAGGUCUCAAAGAAAGCACUGCUGUCUUUACACUGAUUUCCACAGCUGUUUGGUGGUCGACUGGAGCGACCUGGGGAUAUCGCAUGUCACCCGUCUAUAGUGCAACAUGAGCUCAGACAGCGGAAAGUCAGGAUGUCUCAUUGAGGGGAACAAUUGAUCCAACAGUAAGUGUUGGAGGAAAACCAGGCAGGUCUAACCACAUCAGACCAACUUUAACAUGCCAUAUGUCAAGAGUCUUUCUGAAUAAUUCAUUAUUCUUCACAUACUAAAAUUAAGGACAUUUUAAUAUCUUGAUUUAAAGAAAAAAACAUACAUUUUGAACAUUUUUCUAGUAGAUCAAACACUAUAUCUCUAAUGUGUGUGCAUCAGAUACAAAGAGAUACAUGAAAGACAAGAAACAUCUGCAAUCUAAACAUCUGCAGCUCCAUAGGAAGGGGAAAGGAACUGUGUUGGCUAAAGCUGGGACUCCAAGAGGAAAUGAACAAGCGUAUUGCUGGUUAUGUGAUAAACAGUUGCUAGAAAUAUCAACUCAACAUGAAAUUAGGUAAAGUCAACACAUUUAAAUUUGGUUGGACCGCAGGAUUCCUGGAUACUGGACAACAAAGGAGCUGCUUUUUUUUUUUAAGCCCGUCUUGUCUCGGAUCUUUUGCUAUCAGAAUCAUGAUUUGAAUGCACUUUUUAUUUUGUUGUUCAACCCUAUAAGAUACAUUUUUACUUGGUCUCAUUUUUUAUCUGCCAUUGCUUUGAUCUUUUCCUGACUAAACCUUAUUUGUGUUGCCAUCAUAAUGGGAAAACUUAAGUCUAGGACACUUGAGGGUUUUAGAUCUCUUUAGAAGUCUUGAAGCUAUAGAUGGGAUUCUUAAAACCUGCUUAAGAUUUUCUUGUGUUGCUCCAAAUAUUAACAAAAGAACAACUUAAGAAAAAAUUAAUUAAAUCCCAGAUUUGUAUUUUACUAACGUCAGUGGGUACACUUCGAAUCCCGAUUUACAUGUGCUGAACUAAACACUAUUGGAUGAGGAAUAAUGAAACGGCGCUGUUUCUCCCUUAAUUGCCACAGAUUGAUGCAGAGCAUAA